CCCUGCUUCCACAGACUCCUGACUGACCAGCAGUUGCUGUUGCUCCUGACCAGGGUAGGGGUCUGGACCUUCCCUUGUUGCAGCCUGUGCUGCUGUUUUCUAGCUGGUCGUGAAGAACUCCAGGCUGCUGCUCUAUCCUGAGAGGCAGCAGUGGGUUGGGCUGGAGAGUGGCUUGACAGGGGUGGCGGUGUACUAUUGGAGGCCCAACACAGUGUUGAGAACAUAACCAGGAUCCCACCUUUUUUCUUAUCCACUUUCCCACAUCUAUAAAGGCCCUAUGUUCGAGUAACCUUCCUGCCAACCGAGGCUGAAGGCAGCUCCCGAGAUAUUUAUUUCACAGCCUUUUGCCCACACAACUAAAUGCACCUCCCUUCCCCAGGGCGGAUCUUGCUGCCUGUAAGUGAUCCCAGCUACAGGGAAUGAAGGUAAUCCUCAAAGAGAGAAAAAGGUAUAAAAAUGGAGAACUCACAACACACAAAUUACCUCUUUCCCCCCCAUCUCGGCUCACGGUAGCAACAAUGCUUGAAAGAAUAAAGGAAGCUUUUGGAAUCAGGGCAAAGGAUCCUAGCUGCAAGGCGUUCCAUUGAGCACAGACUGUUGUAAGCUGUUGGGUGAGGAAAAAAACCUUUUUGUUUUUGUUUUUCUUGUUUUUCAAGAUCACUUAGCUUGGGAAAGUUUAAGAAUUAGCUUGCAUGUUUAUCUUUUAAUUAGUUUUGUAACCAAUUCUGACUUUUAGGCCAGACCACUUAUAAUCACUUAAAAUGUAUCUCUCUAGUUAAUGAUCUUGCUUUAUUGGUUUAUCUAAACCAGUGUGUUUGAUUGAAGUGUUUGGGAAAUGUCUACUCAGGUCAACAGGGCUGGUGCGUAUUCAAAGUCCUAUCACUUUCCAACCUGGUGCGUAUUCAUUAUCCAUUGUUGGAUUGAUGGACUUAUUAUGAGCAUGUAUGGUCCAGUGGGCUACUGAACAGUACAAGAUGCAUAUUUCUGGGGGGUAAGGCUGGGACUGAGGGAUGUGCAAGUGUCACCCUGUAUCUAUUCAUGGAUGGCUCAGUGAGCAUUCAUGUAUUCAGCUGGGAGUGACUCUACAUGCUAGUGGCUGUGAGUGACUAGAGCUUGGAGGGGUUGCUGUUCUGACAGUAAAGCAGUAUAAAAGGCAUCCCAGUUCAGGUUGCACCCUGGGGAAUGUCACACAUAGACAACUUCUUGCU